GAGACCUUAGUUUAAUGGUAAAAUAUGAGACUUUUAAUCUUUAUGAUGUGGGUUCGAACCCCACAGGUCUUA
rnacentral:tRNA from 1 species